rnacentral:rRNA from 1 species
AGAGUUUGAUCCUGGCUCAGGAUGAACGCUGGCGGCGUGCUUAACACAUGCAAGUCGAACGAGCCUUCGGGCUAGUGGCGGACGGGUGAGUAACGCGUGGGAAUCUGCCCUCAGGAGGGGGAUAACGGCCGGAAACGGCCGCUAAUACCCCAUAUGCCGAGAGGUGAAACGAAUUUCGCCUGAGGAUGAGCCCGCGUCUGAUUAGCUAGUUGGUGAGGUAAUGGCUCACCAAGGCAUCGAUCAGUAGCUGGUCUGAGAGGAUGAUCAGCCACACUGGGACUGAGACACGGCCCAGACUCCUACGGGAGGCAGCAGUGGGGAAUUUUCCGCAAUGGGCGCAAGCCUGACGGAGCAACGCCGCGUGAGGGACGAAGGCCUCUGGGCUGUAAACCUCUUUUCUCAAGGAAGAAGACAUGACGGUACUUGAGGAAUAAGCCACGGCUAAUUCCGUGCCAGCAGCCGCGGUAAUACGGGAGUGGCAAGCGUUAUCCGGAAUUAUUGGGCGUAAAGCGUCCGCAGGCGGCCUUGAAAGUCUGUUGUUAAAGCGUGGAGCUCAACUCCAUUUCAGCAAUGGAAACUACAAGGCUAGAGUGUGGUAGGGGCAGAGGGAAUUCCCGGUGUAGCGGUGAAAUGCGUAGAUAUCGGGAAGAACACCAGUGGCGAAGGCGCUCUGCUGGGCCAUAACUGACGCUCAUGGACGAAAGCCAGGGGAGCGAAAGGGAUUAGAUACCCCUGUAGUCCUGGCCGUAAACGAUGAACACUAGGUGUCGGGAGAAUUAACCCUUUCGGUGUCGUAGCCAACGCGUUAAGUGUUCCGCCUGGGGAGUACGCACGCAAGUGUGAAACUCAAAGGAAUUGACGGGGGCCCGCACAAGCGGUGGAGUAUGUGGUUUAAUUCGAUGCAACGCGAAGAACCUUACCAGGGUUUGACAUCCUGCAAAUCCUUUGGAAACUUAGGAGUGCCUUCGGGAGCGCAGUGACAGGUGGUGCAUGGCUGUCGUCAGCUCGUGUCGUGAGAUGUUGGUUAAGUCCCGCAACGAGCGCAACCCACGUCUUUAGUUGCCAGCAUUUAGUUGGGCACUCUAGAGAGACCGCCGGUGAUAAACCGGAGGAAGGUGUGGAUGACGUCAAGUCAUCAUGCCCCUUACAUCCUGGGCUACACACGUACUACAAUGCUACGGACAAAGGGCAGCAAACUCGCGAGAUCUAGCAAAUCCCAUAAACCGUGGCUCAGUUCAGAUCGUAGGCUGCAACUCGCCUACGUGAAGGAGGAAUCGCUAGUAAUCGCAGGUCAGCAUACUGCGGUGAAUACGUUCCCGGGCCUUGUACACACCGCCCGUCACACCAUGGAAGUUGGCCAUGCCCGAAGUCGUUACUCCAACCCGCAAGGGAGGAGGACGCCGAAGGUGGGGCUGAUGACUGGGGUGAAGUCGUAACAAGGUA